UACGGGAGGCAGCAGUGAGGAAUAUUGGGCAAUGGAGGCAACUCUGACCCAGCCAUGCCGCGUGAGUGAAGAAGGUUUUCGGAUUGUAAAGCUCUUUCAGACGGGAAGAUGAUGACGGUACCGUCAGAAGAAGCACCGGCUAACUUCGUGCCAGCAGCCGCGGUAAU
rnacentral:rRNA from 1 species